AUGAGACCGGAACGAACUCAAACCGGUACCAGCUGGUGUCAGUUAUAGUAUAAUUUAUAGUAGAUGUUUACAUGAAACCGGUACGAAAAUAACUCAGAGCGUUCUGAAGUCGUACCCAGAGACCUACAUCCAAUGAUAUAUAACCAAUCCUCCAGAUAUCUAACAGCCGUUGUCACGGUGAGGCAAAUUUCUUCACGGGCGCCAUCUUGAAAGGUGGCAAAAAGGCGAGACUCUUAAUAAAGUCUAAGUAAAAUAGAAAUAUAAAUACAGGAUCACUUUUUCAAUCAAUGUGCCAGAACUCUUUCACUCUCCUUUCAUGGUUUGACAAAGACAACUUUUAUCUAUGAAUGGAGAACAUUUGGUGAAUUUGCAGAUCAAAUAUUUGAUUAUUUGGUAAAGCUUGCAGAGCAAUGCAAGGCUACUAGACUAGACUUUGUUGCGGACAGAUAUCCAGCAAUAAGUAUCAAGAAUUCAGAAAGGUCCAAAAGGGCUGCUCAAGGCGUUCAAAGAGGACACAUCCUAAGCAAAGAACAGAAUAUUCCAAAAGAGUGGAAAAAAUACUUAAACUCUGGAGAGAACAAAGAGUUAUUGAUAGCAUUUCUCUGUGAUUACUGGAGAAAUUACCCUUCCUCGUAUCUAAGACACCCGCACUGCAUGUACGUCACCACAACAGAGAAAUGCUUGUUAUUUAAAUCUGGUAUCUUAUAUGAAAACAGCGUUCUUGCACAAGAAGUACCUCGACUGGUGUGUGACCACGAGGAAGCAGAUACGCGAUUACUUUUUCACUUCAAGGAUGCCGCCGCCACUCAUCAACGCAUUAUCAUCAAAACACCAGACACAGAUGUGUUUGUACUUUGUGUUGUAAUGCAAAAGAUCGUCAAUAAAGAACUUCUCGUGAUGACCGGGACAGGCAACAAUUUUCACCUGAUCGAUUUUCCACCAUAUCGACUUUACUUGGUGAAGAGUUAAGCUCGUGUUUGCCAGGAUUUCAUGCUUUCUCUGCACUUUUCUAGGUAAAGGUAAAGUAAAGCCAUGGAGGUAUUGCAAAUGCAUCCGAAGUUUGUAGAGAGUUUUUGUCAGUUGGAAAGAUUGAAUGAAGUUCCCGAGGAGCUUUUUAUGUCACUGGGUACAUUUGCUUGUCUACUUGGCGACAAAACAUCAACAACUGUUGACGAGUGCAGAUACCAUCUUUUUAAUUCAGGCAAGUAUUCUGACAAUGUU